CGAGUGUACUAGGUGGGUGUCUUGCCAAGUGGAGCAUGAGGUAUUGUCAGCAAAAUGUGGCUUGCAGAAAUGUGAACAGGGUUGCACUUUACAAUACGAAAUAGUAAAUAAAAAUCCUAAGAUUAAUACAGUAGAUAUGAUUAAUAACCUAAAUAUAUAAAAAAGACAGUUCUUUAGUCGUCUCCUGGCCUGGUCCCAGGUUCGAGAGACACCGUAUAAGCGUCGUGUGAUGACAAUGGGCAUUUCAUUUUCUCCAUUAUCAGGAUGAAACGAGUCUAUCUUUAUCAGGUUAGACAUUGUGUGGUACUCUAGGCUUUCUGUUCCUGCUGGAUGUUCGAGUACCUUGUUGUUGUUCAGGUGGGGGAUCAAAGGGCUUUCUGAGUCUUGGCUCUUUCCGGCGUUGUGUGUUAAUCAGUGAUUGUGUGUGUGUAGGUGUAUUGAAUCCGGGCGCUGGCUCGCCGGAGACGUCAUCUACUUGAUCCGACGCCUUAGGUGGUUUGGUGGGGCUGGUCUUAACCCUGCUGGCAUGAAUCCACUGAGGUUGUCCGUCUGUUAGGAUGCUGGUUCUCGUCACUGCAAGUACAGUCUGGGGGCUGGAACACGCGGCCUCCCCGAGUGCCCUUGGUUUUAGCAACUUUACCAAUACCGCAUCUCCUGGUUUCCACGGAUGGGUUGGAUCUAUGGAAGGGAGAGGCUGAGAGAGACAAACUUUCUGAUAGUUAUUAUUCAGUGUUUCUACCAGGUUAUGAACAUAGUCAGACAAUGCAGUGUCUAUGUCCCCUUCCAAUAGCGGUGCCCCUCUGGAGGCUGACCAUGGUGUUGGAAACGGUCUUCCCAUGAUUAUUUCAAAUGGAGAUAAUUUGGUUGCUGCGGAUGGAGUCAUUCUAAUCUCACAGAGGACUUGAGGAAGUAAUUUGAUCCAGGUCAUUCCUGUUUCUAUCAUUGCUUUAGUCAGGCGGUUUUUUAUGGUCCUAUUCAUUCUUUCUACAACUCCUGAACUCUGAGGAUGGUAUGGCACAUGAUAUUUCCAGUCUAUUGCUAGAGUUUUAGCACACUUUUGAAUUACUUCUGAUGUGAAUGAAGGUCCUCUAUCACUGUUAAUUUGGUGAGGUAUUCCAAAUCUGGGUAUUAUUUCAUUGCACAACUUUUGACAGACUACUUCUGCAGUUUCUUUUGAUGUUGGGUAAGUUUCUACCCAUUUACUAAAUUGGUCCACUAUUACCAGUAAGUACUUGAUGCUUCCUUGUGCUGGCAUGUGUGUAAAAUCAAUUUGUAAUGUAUGAAAUGGGAAAUCUGGUUGUGGUAAAUGCUGAUGUUUUGCUUUUGGUUUUCCUACAUUAGUUCGUGCACAUGUUAGACAGGUUGCUAAUAUGCGUUUUACUGCGUGUGAUGUUUUCUUGAUUACAAAUCUUGAUUUUAUUGCUCCU
ensembl:lncRNA